rnacentral:siRNA from 1 species
AAAGAAGGUGACGAAUCGAUUUCA